rnacentral:tRNA from 1 species
UGUGUAUGUAUUAUAAUUUAAUAUAUAUGAUUUGCGUUCGUGAGAUUUUUAUACACAU